GACGGAGGACAUACCACCCUGAACACGACUGACCUAAGCAGGGUCGGACCUGGUUAGUACUUGGAUGGGAAAUUGCCUGGGAAUACCAGGUGCUGUAA
rnacentral:rRNA from 1 species